rnacentral:rRNA from 1 species
GACAGAGGGUGCAACCGUUGUUCGGAAUUACUGGGCGUAAAGCGCGUGUAGGCUGCUCUGCAAGUCGGGUGUGAAAGCCCCGGGCUCAACCUGGGAAGUGCACUCGAAACUGCAGAGCUCGAGUCCUGGAGAGGAAGGCGGAAUUCUCGGUGUAGAGGUGAAGUUCGUAGAUAUCGAGAGGAACACCGGUGGCGAAGGCGGCCUUCUGGACAGUGACUGACGCUGAGACGCGAAAGCGUGGGGAGCAAACAGG